rnacentral:rRNA from 1 species
UACGUAGGAGGCGAGCGUUGUCCGGAGUUACUGGGCGUAAAGGGUGCGCAGGCGGUGGCCCGCGUGGGCGGUGAAAAGCUCCUGGCUCAACUGGGAGAGGGCCGUCCAGACGGGGUCACUUGAGAGGCGGAGAGGGGCGUGGAAUUCCGGGUGGAGCGGUGAAAUGCGUAGAGAUCCGGAGGAACACCGAUGGCGAAGGCAAUCCCCUGGACCUGUACUGACGCUCAUGCACGAAAGCGUGGGGAGCAAACAGG